AGUUUGUUGACCUUUUUGAGUCUCAGUUUCCUUAUCUGCAAAAUGGAGACAAACAUAUCUAACCUGAAAUAGAGACCAGGCUCAGUGGGAAAACAGAGCUUUUUGCUAGAGAGUAAAUAGUAUGUCCUUUUAAAACACCAUGUUGCUAUUUCUUGAUGUUGCCACCAGAUAGCAGCAAAAGAAAGAGCAAACCCAAGACCUAGGACAAAGCCUUUCAAGGGCAUCCAGACUUCCAACUAGACCACAAUCAUGAAGAAUAAUAAAGAGGAGGGGAGAGAAGCAGUUCAGCAAAACUAAGCAAUACAUUAAUUAAAUUUGUCAGUAUAUAUAGUAUUCUCUAUCCCUCAUCUCCCCAUCUUUACAAAGGUAUUGAAUUAAUUUAAUCAAGUCCAAGAUUACCUUAGAGCCUCCAAAAUGAGAUCCUUGACAAGUCAAAAGGAAAUGACCUAGCAAUCAACACAAAUGUUACUAAAUGGAGGAAGAAUG
rnacentral:lncRNA from 1 species